rnacentral:rRNA from 1 species
GAUGAACGCUGGCGGCGUGCCUAAUACAUGCAAGUCGAGCGAACGGACGAGAAGCUUGCUUUUCUGAUGUUAGCGGCGGACGGGUGAGUAACACGUGGAUAACCUACCUAUAAGACUGGGAUAACUUCGGGAAACCGGAGCUAAUACCGGAUAAUAUUUUGAACCGCAUGGUUCAAAAGUGAAAGACGGUCUUGCUGUCACCUAUAGAUGGAUCCGCGCUGCAUUAGCUAGUUGGUAAGGUAACGGCUUACCAAGGCAACGAUGCAUAUCCAACCUGAGAGGGUGAUCGGCCACACUGGAACUGAGACACGGUCCAGACUCCUACGGGAGGCAGCAGUAGGGAAUCUUCCGCAAUGGGCGAAAGCCUGACGGAGCAACGCCGCGUGAGUGAUGAAGGUCUUCGGAUCGUAAAACUCUGUUAUUAGGGAAGAACAUAUGUGUAAGUAACUGUGCACAUCUUGACGGUACCUAAUCAGAAAGCCACGGCUAACUACGUG